AUCUAAACCUGAUUGAAGUGAAAAUCCUUUUCUUUUUUUGGAAAGAAAAGAUUGCAACGAAAAGCAGGACUAUCC
rnacentral:sRNA from 1 species